CAGUGAUCUGGAAGCCAAACCCUGGCUCCUUGCCACCUCACACACUCCCUUCAUUGACAUCCUACUGGGUCCCCUGAAUCGGGAUCUCAACACCCCUUCUUCCUAUAUAGGAAGGGACUGGGUGCAGGGGUUGAAGAUUUGGGUCAAGAUUAGGACUAAAUGUUAGGUCUAAAUUAGGAUUUGAAGUUGGAAAUCUAGGAGAGGAUUAGAGAUUGGGCAUACUGAUUAGCAGGUUAGAAAUCUAGACUUAUUGAGGUUAGAGGUUAGGCCCAAGUCUAGAGGUAUCUGGUGGUCUGCUUGAGGUUUGAGAAUCUGGCUGAAGUUAGUUUGAAGAUUAGAGCUAGGGAUAGGUUUACAGGGUUUGGGCUAGGGUAUACAGGGCUGGGUCUAAGAGUGGAGCUGAAAUAGGAGGGAAGGAGCUUCAGACACUACCCCUCUUUCUUAGAUCUGGUUAGGGGUUAGUUUUAUUGAUAUGGUCUUGGGUGGUCUAGAGGUGUUAGGGUUAAAGCUGGAACCAGGCUGGGCAUGUUUUCUAGCCUAGCUAAAUGAGUGUCUAACUCUAUUUGCAUCAUGAUCAUAUUAAGGUUUUCACUAAGUUUAAUAGCAGGUUAACUGAAUUAGGGUUAGAGUGGAAAGAGAUAUAGUUCAGGUCACCUAAGGGGGACCACUGGACAGAGAUGGGAUGUUAGUCCUUAAGAAAAGGUGAAAACAAGCUCUGAUCUUCCAUCUCUCUUAUCCCUCCCUGUCCUGGAUCUAUCAAAUCUCCCAGAAUGAGAAGUUACAAGAGGAGAAUGAUGUCCUGAGAUCCACUGAAGAGGUACUGCUCAGGGACAAUGACAAGAUUAAAAAGAAAAUACUGAAGCUUAAGGAACGCCACGAAUCUCUGCAAGACGAUAUCUACACGCUGGAGGAACGUCUGUGUGAGUGUGUGUGUGGUUGGGAGGGAAGGCUGGGGGGCAGGAUGUUAGGGGGUGUCUCCGCCCCCCCCGUAACUCCACCUUUCCCUCCCUCCCCCAACAAAAGGUUCUUGCACCUGCCCUGAGAACCGAUCGAACCACGAACACAAAGAGAGCAAAAGGUGUGGCCGCUGGCCCCGGUCUUCAAGGAAAGGAGAGAG
rnacentral:lncRNA from 1 species